rnacentral:misc_RNA from 1 species
UUGAUGGGUAUUAUUGCUAAACUACUAUAUUAUGUUGCCUUACUCUCUUAUUUUUAUUAUUGAAUUUCAUUUAUACAUGAUCUUUCCACAUGAAUUUCAUUAAGUGUUUAAAGGUUAGACAUUAAACAGUAUCUUCUGUUAGACAUUUAAUAAUAAAAUUUAUCUCUUAAAUUUAAAAUACCAUAAUAACCACUAAUAACUGCAACUUUGAUUCAACUUUGAAAUCAUGACAUGUACUUACUAUGAAAAUUCUUCAACUAAACUGCAUUUUUUAUUGAUUGGGGAACUCAUCACAACUGGUCCUAUAGCGAUUUAAGAGUUGAUUUUCUUUUUUAUGCUGCUUGAUCUUGUCUUGUAGGUCUCCUCUUUGUUGCAGAUUCUGUACUUGGAGGCUUUUGUAUGCGACUUUUCUGCAGAAUUUUCUGUAGCUCUCGGCUUGGUUUUGCUGCUUUCUAAACCUUUGACUUUUCUUCUGCUGACAAUUGUUAUCCUGGACUUUUAUUUGUUGUCUUUUGUUAUGUAACUUUGGUACUGUCUUGUUAGUGUGUUUUAUACCUUUCUUUCUAUGUUUUUUCACUUAGCAUACCAUUGUUGGGAGUAGUGGGGAAGCCUAUCGGUUUGGUUUGGUUGGCAACUGAUACAUGCAUUUUGCAUAGUCAUUUAGGUUAGAUUUUAUAAUCAUUUCAUUUAUUUGUUAGUCACUUUUAGCUAAUUUUAUUAGUUAUUUAGAUAAUUUUUCAUAAUUAUUAAUUUUUGAGUUAAUUUGUAAUUUACUUUGUUUUAUAGUUAAAAUAGUAUUUUUGAGGGAGUAAACAGUAAUUGUGCCAGUAAGGAGUGAUUCUCAUAGUAAAAAAUGUCAAAAUUAAGCUUGAAGGUUGAAGAAUGCAAAAUUGCCAAAGUCUGCAUAACCUGCUGCACAAAUCAUGUAGUUUCUGCACAAUAAGCAAUUUUUAAACCUGCUGAAACCUGCAUAACUUGUGCAGAUUCACU